AGAAAAAUACUACCUGUAACUAUCCAACCACCUAAUACUAAUAGCUCAUUUGAAUCAAAAUAUUACAUAUCCCUAUUAUAAUUUAUUUUUUAUUCGAUGUGGGACUAUUUAAUCAUAUAUAUAGAUCAGAAUUAUCGAAAAAUGUGAAAUUUUAAAGGGGGCUUUUGAACCGUUGCUCCCACCAAAUUCGUAAUGUAGGACUCUGUCCUGCAUAGAACUAAAUUCUUAUACUUUUUACUAAUAUUCGAUUUUGAUACUAAAUAUAACGACUCUAUACGCUAGUAUUAAUAAUUUGUUGGAUCCAAACCACCAGCAGAAAAUUCUUUUUUCAUCCGAUAUAAAACUAUUGGAGUAUCACAUAUAUGGACACUUUAUAUAUAGGUAUAAAUUUUAUAGUCUCCU
rnacentral:lncRNA from 1 species